rnacentral:rRNA from 1 species
AUGGCCCUACGGGGGGCAGCAGUGAGGAAUAUUGGUCAAUGGGCGAGAGCCUGAACCAGCCAAGUCGCGUGAGGGAAGACGGUCCUAUGGAUUGUAAACCUCUUUUGUCGGGGAGCAAAAAGGCCUCGUGAGGCCACAAGUGAGAGUACCCGAAGAAAAAGCAUCGGCUAACUCCGUGCCAGCAGCCGCGGUAAUACGGAGGAUGCGAGCGUUAUCCGGAUUUAUUGGGUUUAAAGGGUGCGUAGGUGGUUAAUUAAGUCAGCGGUGAAAGUUUGUGGCUCAACCAUA